CGGAUCAGUAGCCAUGUUGGGUAAGAGUGCAAAUGUCAGAGGUGAAAAGAGGCAGCAGGACCCUCCCCUAGUGCUUGGGCAACAGAAGGUGGAAUCACUAAGGGGACAAGACUUUAGCAUGCUCAAGUACACAGGACAGAAAACAUGCUUUUUACAAAAGCUGGUAAAUAUGAAGAGGGAACAUUUUCAAGUUCCUGUAACCAAGAACUACCGCCUGUAACCGGUGAAAGUGACUUUCUAUGGCAAAAGCGUUUUUGAAAAGGUCUUCCAUCGACGGACUCCCUAAAAAGCCAGCGGCGUGGAGGGGCGCCCUCUAUUGGACAAAUAGAUCUUGACUACUUUCGGCCCUCAAAUAGCCUGACUAGGCAAAUAACAAAUAAUAAUAAUUUUUUUUUAAAUCAUGGAAAAUAUUUUAAAAAACAAUUAAAAAGUUAUAAAUCUAUAAAA
rnacentral:lncRNA from 1 species